rnacentral:rRNA from 1 species
UACGGAGGGAGCUAGCGUUGUUCGGAAUUACUGGGCGUAAAGCGCGCGUAGGCGGCUUUGUAAGUUAGAGGUGAAAGCCCGGAGCUCAACUCCGGAAUUGCCCUUAAGACUGCAUCGCUAGAAUUGUGGAGAGGUGAGUGGAAUUCCGAGUGUAGAGGUGAAAUUCGUAGAUAUUCGGAAGAACACCAGUGGCGAAGGCGACUCACUGGACACAUAUUGACGCUGAGGUGCGAAAGCGUGGGGAGCAAACAGG